CGACAGGGGAACAAAACGCGCUGGUCACAGGACCCACUAAGAGGGCCUUUCCAGCUCAUGCCCGGAACAGGGGUGCAGCGGCGACCCUCUGGGAUCUGGAGAGAGAGAAUUUAACACGGCCUUCCUGAAGUACAUUCACGCAAAUGUGAGAAAGACUUCAACGCACAGAAUCGCCAAAGCCCUUGCCGUCUUAAAUAAAUCCUGCCCCUUGGCACAGAAGAACGGAGAACCAAGGAGUUAAUUCCUAUUUUAUAAGAAAAAAAAAAAAAAAAAGGAGGGGGAGAGAGGAAGGGAGUGGAUGGCCCCCACUGAGCGGAACAAUUGUCACUCAGUUGAACAGUGUCAAUUAACAAACCGCAGCUCUGGCAGACUUCAAAAGGCUUGAUUCUUUUUGAAAUGUCUGUGGUGAUGGGUGUGCAGCGAACCCCAGCUCGCCGGUGGCCGCUCACCCCGCUCGCCUCUCUCUCCCUCUGGACUCGGUGCUGAAGCCCCAGUGCAGCUCGCUCCUCCUUCUGUCAGCAGCUGGACCCGGAAGCCCUGACUCCCGGCUUGGCGCCUGUGCUGAGAGCGGAGAAGGACGUCGCGACCGGCAGGCCUGGAGGGCGCAUUGGUGUGCAGAGUGUAGCGGCUGGUCUGGCCCUGGGAACCCCAGACCCGCGAAGCUGGAGGGCGCACUCCCCGGCCUCAGAGCCCCAAACCGGAGGCGCUGUCCAAACGCGCCAACGCUGCAAGCAAUGUGGCAGGGCACACCGAAAUGCGUGUCUCGCACACCUGCCCAUCUUUCCCUGCUCAACACGAAAGCGCCUUGUGGCUCUAAGCGCUUCCUUGGGGUGGCUGGGGCUGUGCAUUUUAAUUCCAAAGUCAAGAGGUUGAACCAUCUCAAAGUUGGCGGGUGGAGGGGGCGGUGGCAGGGAACUAGAUGGCUGGAUGCCUUUGCCUGCGGGGUGGCAGGGCUGUCCCUACCAAUAGCCACGGCUCGGGGCUGGCUUUGUAGUUAUUUUUCCAAGUUCUGCCCGGUGCCCAUCAUAUUGCCCUGAAAAGCAAAAGAG
rnacentral:lncRNA from 10 species